GAUGAACGCUGGCGGCGUGCCUAAUACAUGCAAGUCGAGCGAACAGACGAGGAGCUUGCUCCUCUGACGUUAGCGGCGGACGGGUGAGUAACACGUGGAUAACCUACCUAUAAGACUGGGAUAACUUCGGGAAACCGGAGCUAAUACCGGAUAAUAUAUUGAACCGCAUGGUUCAAUAGUGAAAGACGGUUUUGCUGUCACUUAUAGAUGGAUCCGCGCCGCAUUAGCUAGUUGGUAAGGUAACGGCUUACCAAGGCAACGAUGCGUAGCCGACCUGAGAGGGUGAUCGGCCACACUGGAACUGAGACACGGUCCAGACUCCUACGGGAGGCAGCGGUAGGGAAUCUUCCGCAAUGGGCGAAAGCCUGACGGAGCAACGCCGCGUGAGUGAUGAAGGUCUUCGGAUCGUAAAACUCUGUUAUUAGGGAAGAACAAAUGUGUAAGUAACUAUGCACGUCUUGACGGUACCUAAUCAGAAAGCCACGGCUAACUACGU
rnacentral:rRNA from 1 species